CCUACGGGUGGCAGCAGUGAGGAAUAUUGGUCAAUGGGCGCGAGCCUGAACCAGCCAAGUAGCGUGAAGGAUGACUGCCCUACGGGUUGUAAACUUCUUUUAUAAAGGAAUAAAGUGAGGCACGUGUGCCUUUUUGUACGUACUUUAUGAAUAAGGAUCGGCUAACUCCGUGCCAGCAGCCGCGGUAAUACGGAGGAUCCGAGCGUUAUCCGGAUUUAUUGGGUUUAAAGGGAGCGUAGAUGGGUUGUUAAGUCAGUCGUGAAAGUUUGGGGCUCAACCGUAAAAUUGCAAUUGAUACUGGCAGCCUGGAGUGCAGUUGGGGUAGGCGGAAUUCGUGGUGUAGCGGUGAAAUGCUUAGAUAUCACGAAGAACUCCGAUUGCGAAGGCAGCCUACUAAACUGCCACUGACAUUGAUGCUCGAAAGUGUGGGUAUCAAACAGGAUUAGAUACCCUGGUAGUC
rnacentral:rRNA from 1 species